CCUACGGGUGGCAGCAGUGAGGAAUAUUGGUCAAUGGGCUUACGCCUGAACCAGCCAAGUCGCGUGAGGGAAGACUGCCCUAUGGGUUGUAAACCUCUUUUGUCAGGGAGCAACGCCGGCUACGUGUAGCCGUACUGAGAUUACCUAAAGAAAAAGAAUCGGCAAACCCCGUGCAAGCAGCCGCGGUAAUACGAAGGAUGCGAGUGUUUUCCGGAUUUAUUGGGUUUAAGGGGUGCGUAGGCGGAAUGCAAAGUCAGCGGUAAAAUCUCGGGGCUCAACCUCGCUCCGCCGUUGAAACUGGCGUUCUUGAGUGGGCGAGAAGUAUGCGGAAUGCGUGGUGUAGCGGUGAAAUGCAUAGAUAUCACGCAGAACUCCGAUUGCGAAGGCAGCAUACCGGCGCCCAACUGACGCUGAAGCACGAAAGCGUGGGUAUCGAACAGGAUUAGAUACCCGUGUAGUC
rnacentral:rRNA from 1 species